rnacentral:rRNA from 1 species
UACGUAGGGUGCGAGCGUUACUCGGAAUUACUGGGCGUAAAGUGUGCGCAGGCGGCCGCGCAAGUCGAGUGUGAAAUCCCCGAGCUUAACUUGGGAAUUGCGCUCGAAACUACGUGGCUGGAGUGUGGCAGAGGAAGGUGGAAUUCCACGUGUAGCGGUGAAAUGCGUAGAGAUGUGGAGGAACACCGAUGGCGAAGGCAGCCUUCUGGGCCAACACUGACGCUCAUGCACGAAAGCGUGGGGAGCAAACAGG